rnacentral:rRNA from 1 species
GACGAACGCUGGCGGCGUGCUUAACACAUGCAAGUCGAACGGAAAGGCCCUGCUUUUGUGGGGUGCUCGAGUGGCGAACGGGUGAGUAACACGUGAGUAACCUGCCCUUGACUUUGGGAUAACUUCAGGAAACUGGGGCUAAUACCGGAUAGGAGCCCCUGCUGCAUGGUGGGGGUUGGAAAGUUUCGGCGGUUGGGGAUGGACUCGCGGCUUAUCAGCUUGUUGGUGGGGUAGUGGCUUACCAAGGCUUUGACGGGUAGCCGGCCUGAGAGGGUGACCGGCCACAUUGGGACUAAGAUACGGCCCAGACUCCUACGGGAGGCAGCAGUGGGGAAUAUUGCACAGUGGGCGGAAGCCUGAUGCAGCAACGCCGCGUGCGGGAUGAAGGCCUUCGGGUUGUAAACCGCUUUCGCCUGUGACGAAGCGUGAGUGACGGUAAUGGGUAAAGAAGCACCGGCUAACUACGUG